AGAUUGAACGCUGGCGGCAGGCUUAACACAUGCAAGUCGAGCGGAAACGAUGGUAGCUUGCUACCAGGCGUCGAGCGGCGGACGGGUGAGUAAUACUUAGGAAUCUACCUAGUAGUGGGGGAUAGCUCGGGGAAACUCGAAUUAAUACCGCAUACGACCUACGGGAGAAAGGGGGCAGUUUACUGCUCUCGCUAUUAGAUGAGCCUAAGUCGGAUUAGCUAGAUGGUGGGGUAAAGGCCUACCAUGGCGACGAUCUGUAGCUGGUCUGAGAGGAUGAUCAGCCACACCGGGACUGAGACACGGCCCGGACUCCUACGGGAGGCAGCAGUGGGGAAUAUUGGACAAUGGGGGAAACCCUGAUCCAGCCAUGCCGCGUGUGUGAAGAAGGCCUUUUGGUUGUAAAGCACUUUAAGCAGUGAAGAAGACUCCGUGGUUAAUACCCACGGACGAUGACAUUAGCUGCAGAAUAAGCACCGGCUAACUCUGUGCCAGCAGCCGCGGUAAUACAGAGGGUGCAAGCGUUAAUCGGAAUUACUGGGCGUAAAGGGAGCGUAGGUGGCUCGAUAAGUCAGAUGUGAAAUCCCCGGGCUCAACCUGGGAACUGCAUCUGAUACUGUUGAGCUAGAGUAUGUGAGAGGAAGGUAGAAUUCCAGGUGUAGCGGUGAAAUGCGUAGAGAUCUGGAGGAAUACCGAUGGCGAAGGCAGCCUUCUGGCAUAAUACUGACACUGAGGCUCGAAAGCGUGGGUAGCAAACAGGAUUAGAUACCCUGGUAGUCCACGCCGUAAACGAUGUCUACUAGUCGUUGGGUCCCUUGAGGACUUAGUGACGCAGCUAACGCAAUAAGUAGACCGCCUGGGGAGUACGGCCGCAAGGUUAAAACUCAAAUGAAUUGACGGGGGCCCGCACAAGCGGUGGAGCAUGUGGUUUAAUUCGAUGCAACGCGAAGAACCUUACCUGGUCUUGACAUAUCUAGAAUCCUGCAGAGAUGCGGGAGUGCCUUCGGGAAUUAGAAUACAGGUGCUGCAUGGCUGUCGUCAGCUCGUGUCGUGAGAUGUUGGGUUAAGUCCCGCAACGAGCGCAACCCUUGUCCUUAGUUACCAGCGGGUUAAGCCGGGAACUCUAAGGAUACUGCCAGUGACAAACUGGAGGAAGGCGGGGACGACGUCAAGUCAUCAUGGCCCUUACGACCAGGGCUACACACGUGCUACAAUGGUAGGUACAGAGGGCAGCUACACAGCGAUGUGAUGCGAAUCUCAAAAAGCCUAUCGUAGUCCAGAUUGGAGUCUGCAACUCGACUCCAUGAAGUAGGAAUCGCUAGUAAUCGCGGAUCAGAAUGCCGCGGUGAAUACGUUCCCGGGCCUUGUACACACCGCCCGUCACACCAUGGGAGUUGAUUGCACCAGAAGUGGAUAGCUUAACCUUCGGGGGAGCGU
rnacentral:rRNA from 1 species